AGUAACGCGUGAGGAACCUGCCUUUCAGCGGGGGACAACAGUUGGAAACGACUGCUAAUACCGCAUAAGCCCACGGCUCGGCAUCGAGCAGAGGGAAAAGGAGUGAUCCGCUUUGAGAUGGCCUCGCGUCCGAUUAGCUAGUUGGUGAGGUAAUGGCCCACCAAGGCGACGAUCGGUAGCCGGACUGAGAGGUUGAACGGCCACAUUGGGACUGAGACACGGCCCAG
rnacentral:rRNA from 1 species